rnacentral:rRNA from 1 species
ACUCCUGCGGGAGGCAGCAGUGGGGAAUUUUGGACAAUGGGCGAAAGCCUGAUCCAGCAAUGCCGCGUGAGUGAAGAAGGCCUUCGGGUUGUAAAGCUCUUUUGUCAGGGAAGAAACGGUGAAAGCUAAUAUCUUUUGCUAAUGACGGUACCUGAAGAAUAAGCACCGGCUAACUACGUGCCAGCAGCCGCGGUAAUACGUAGGGUGCAAGCGUUAAUCGGAAUUACUGGGCGUAAAGCGUGCGCAGGCGGUUUUGUAAGUCUGAUGUGAAAUCCCCGGGCUCAACCUGGGAAUUGCAUUGGAGACUGCAAGGCUAGAAUCUGGCAGAGGGGGGUAGAAUUCCACGUGUAGCAGUGAAAUGCGUAGAUAUGUGGAGGAACACCGAUGGCGAAGGCAGCCCCCUGGGUCAAGAUUGACGCUCAUGCACGAAAGCGUGGGGAGCAAACAGGAUUAGAAACCCUGGUAGUCCC